AAUCCCUAAUUGAAAAUUAUUAUAAGAAUAAACAUUCAAGUCGAGAUUCGCAGAAAACAGACCCGCCGAAGAUAUACAAAUCCCUGAUAUAUUUACCGAAUAUAUCAGAAAGAUUGGAAAAGUCAGAAAUAUAUGACAAAAAUAAAUACACAAUAGCACAUAGCUCACAUAACACAACAAAAUCUUUAUUCACAAACAUGAAAAGUAAAAUACCAAAAAUGGACAAACAUAAUGUAGUUUACAAAAUUGAAUGUGGUGGUAACAAGGAAGAAAGUUGCGGAAAACAUUACGUUGGCACAACAAAAAACAAACUAAAAACUAGGAUGUCAGCACACAAAUCAGACAUCAAAUUAAGAAACAAUAAUUCGAUACAAAAAACAGCGUUAGCCGAACACUGUAAACAGUACAACCAUACACCCAAGAUCGAUGACGUGAGAGUGUUACAAACGGAACAUCACUACAACAAGAGACUAACGAUAGAGAUGCUUCACAUCAAUAGUUUAUCAACAACAAAGAGAAUAAACAGCAAAGCAGACACGGACAACACAGCUUACUGCUACAGGCAUUUAACAAAAAGAGAUCGUGCAAUAUGCAAAUAAUUAUCAGUGCAAUAGUAACACUUGACGGUAGUAGUCACACUACGCUAGUUUUAAGUUUAUUAUUUUAAUUAUUUGCAAAUCACCCUGAAGAUGAAACUCAAAGAGCUUCGAAAUAUUGGAAAAAGAAAAAUAAAUAAUUAAAAAACCAAAAAGUUUGACCUCAAGCUCAAAUAAUUGUUUUUAUUAACUAUCGAAAAAGGUCGAAAAACCAGAGAAAAUAUUUAUAU